CGGUCUGUCAAGUCGGAUGUGAAAUCCCCGGGCUCAACCUGGGAACUGCAUUCGAAACUGGCAGGCUUGAGUCUUGUAGAGGGGGGUAGAAUUCCAGGUGUAGCGGUGAAAUGCGUAGAGAUCUGGAGGAAUACCGGUGGCGAAGGCGGCCCCCUGGACAAAGACUGACGCUCAGGUGCGAAAGCGUGGGGAGCAAACAGGAUUAGAUACCCUGGUAGUCCACGCCGUAAACGAUGUCUACUUGGAGGUUGUGCCCUUGAGGCGUGGCUUCCGGAGCUAACGCGUUAAGUAGACCGCCUGGGGAGUACGGCCGCAAGGUUAAAACUCAAAUGAAUUGACGGGGGCCCGCACAAGCGGUGGAGCAUGUGGUUUAAUUCGAUGCAACGCGAAGAACC
rnacentral:rRNA from 4 species